rnacentral:ncRNA from 1 species
UACACCUGAAACAAGCAAGAUUACCCGCUGAACUUAAGCAUAUCAGUAAGCGGAGGAAAAGAAACUAACUAGGAUAGCCCCAGUAAUGGCGAAUGAACAGGCUAAAGCUCAAAGUGAAAAUCUGAAGUGGUCAACACAACAGAAUUGUAAUCUAAAGGGUCAACCUGAAACUAAGCUCCUCUCAUAAGUUCCUUGGAACAGGACGUCAAAGAGGGUGACAACCCCGUAGUCGGAGAGGAAGGCUGGUGUAAGGGAGAUUUCAAAGAGUCGGGUUGUUUGGGAUUGCAGCCCUAAGUGGGAGAUAAACUUCUUCUAAAGCUAAAUAUACACGGGAGACCGAUAGCGAACAAGUACUGCGAAGGAAAGAUGAAAAGAACUUCUCAUAUUCAGGAGCCUAAAACAAGGGACCUUCUAUUAUCUUCAAAUCUAAUGAAAAAAAGUGAAAGAAAUGUUUUCUUCUAAAUUGCCAAGAGUGACAUUAAGGAAUGAAGUAGCUCUAUUUUUUUCUUAAGUUUUAAGAGAAAUAAUUUUUCUAUUAGCAUCUCAUUUGAUUCUGAUUAAAAUUUGUUUAAUUGUUUUUUUGGUUAAGCUAUAAUUUUAAUAACACUUCUACUAUCUUAAGUUUCGCUAUCGUAAAUUUUGUAAAUAUAAUGUUUGUUAUUGGGUAAAA